rnacentral:lncRNA from 1 species
CAUGCAUGCAGACAAAACACCUACUCACAUAAAAUAAUAAAAGAACGUUUUAAAAGAAUUGAUAGAAAAAAAUGUGAUGUAGAUUCCUUUAGAGGAUUUAUGUGUGGACUACAUGGAAGCAAAGACUCUUGAAAACACAUUACCCAGAAAACCUGUCUAAUCUGUCAGUGCAAGAAAAAUUAAGCACAAUGCUUCCUGUUGACGUCACUUCAUCCUGAAAUGGAAACUCCUCAGUGACUCACAUUUUAUCAUCACGAGCAACGCUGCUAGCCUAAAAGUCAGCUAAUUGAAUAAAGACAAGGUUGAAUUAGAGAGCAGCCACCAGCCUCCAACCAAGAGGACGAAAGGAAGCUUCCAGAACAAGAUAAGGAACUUGAGGGACUGUGUGUGGAACUUCAGGUCACCUUGGAUGAUUAACCAAAAUGAAAGAGGAAAAACCAUUUUCAACCAAGGAAAUUUGUGAACUAGAAAUUUACCGUUCCAGGAAGAGAGUUACAGACUCGUUUCACCUCCUACCCACAGCCUUCUUUCACGAGGUCUCGCUUGCAUCAGCCCUCUGAUGCAGAGAUAGCACACAUUGGAUUGCAACCUCACCCUGUCCACGUGGCUACACCAGCUCUACAUAGAGUCACAGCAAGUGGCAGCUGAAAAGCAUGCACUGGGCACUGGGUGGUGACUCCCCUGGCAUCCUGCCUGAGAUCACAGCCUCUGGGCUUCAGACCACUGGCUAGAUGUGCUCUUGGGCCAGAUCACUGGCCCUGCCUGGCCCUGCAACCUCUCCAGCAGAGAGAAAGCCAGCCUCAGCAAGUUUUCAGAGUGGGAGCAAUUUGGAAGUGGUUUGGAAGAGUUCAAUUCCCUGCCUAAAGGUCUAAACAAGCUGAAACUGGAGCUUUUUAUACAAAUGGUUAGAAACGAAAGCAAAAAAAAAUUCAUCAAGCAAAGGUAUAUGUGCAACACAUUGGCCCCUUGGUGUCAUUUGAAGUAAAUUAAUGUGGAGGACCAAAGAAAUGGAGUCGGCAGGAUGCAACGCUCCAGGGACCUGCCUGCGAUUUCGUUCCUAUUGUAGCAAAACCGGUGCUCCCAGCAAGGCUUCAGGGAAAACUACAACGUGCUUAAGUAAGAUUAAUCAGUAAAGCAAGCGUCCACCUAAUGAGUCAUCUUUGACAUCACAAAGCCAGGAAAAUAUAAGGCUGCAGCCUGGCGGCUGUGUACUCCCAGAAGCCACAAAACCGGAGCCGCCCACGUGCGUGGGUGGGUGUGGUCCCUGAGCACACUGGUCU